rnacentral:tRNA from 1 species
GGGAUUGUGGCUCAGCGGUAGAGUGCUCACCUAGCAUGUAAGAGGCCCUGGGUUCUAUCCUCAGCACCA